AGACUACAUAUCCCAGAACUCAUUGCAUCUGGCAUGCAGUCAUAGCAAUGUGCCAGGUUUCAGACAGGAGAAGGGGGUGAAAGAACUCCUUCACUUUCCCUGCUGUGGCCAACAGAGCAGCAACAUAGGGGGUCCACUGGAGUGCACUGUGCGGCAAGACUACCACGCUAUACCUGGGAGUGCAGAUGGGCUUUUUCCUUUCCUGUUCUCUCCCCCAAUCUUCUUCUGAUCAAGUUGACAAAUAUGUGAUCAGAAAAUCAGUCUGCUGCAUGUAAUUCUGGCUCAACUGAUGCACCGUUUUCCAUUUGGGAUGACUCUGGUGGAGAUAUUCUGAUAAGAAAUCUGGAUUGGGCAGGAUCAGGAUAUGAGAGAUGUUCCAGCCAAGAAAUUCAAUGGUGCUACAAGAGACUCUUAACUUGAGGACAACUGCCAUUAUGAUGAGUGUUGUGUGUGGAGGUGGCUAUCCUAGGGAUGCACUGCAUGCACACACCUCCUUGGGAUCCUUAUCAGUGGAAACUAGCCAAGCCACCAGAGGUUGUAAGAAGAUUUCACCUUCACUGCAUCCCCAGAGUUAUCUCCCUUCAUACACACCCACACCCACACACAUACGCACACACACCACCUGUCAUAAUGACACCGUGUAUCCCUGCAGAAAGCCAGCCUUCCUCCUUCUCAUACUUGUAUGUUAAUCCUUUUCAUUUCAACAGUUCCUUAAUGAUCUCCAUUAUAUUUUGGCAGCUGUGCCAAAUAUUGGAGAGAUGGCUCUUGUUCUAAUCUCAGUGAGUCAUAUUCAUGUAAUAAAUUAAGAUUCCAAA